rnacentral:rRNA from 1 species
GAUGAACGCUGGCGGCGUGCCUAAUACAUGCAAGUCGAGCGAACAGACGAGGAGCUUGCUCCUCUGACGUUAGCGGCGGACGGGUGAGUAACACGUGGAUAACCUACCUAUAAGACUGGGAUAACUUCGGGAAACCGGAGCUAAUACCGGAUAAUAUAUUGAACCGCAUGGUUCAAUAGUGAAAGACGGUUUUGCUGUCACUUAUAGAUGGAUCCGCGCCGCAUUAGCUAGUUGGUAAGGUAACGGCUUACCAAGGCAACGAUGCGUAGCCGACCUGAGAGGGUGAUCGGCCACACUGGAACUGAGACACGGUCCAGACUCCUACGGGAGGCAGCAGUAGGGAAUCUGCCGCAAUGGGCGAAAGCCUGACGGAGCAACGCCGCGUGAGUGAUGAAGGUCUUCGGAUCGUAAAACUCUGUUAUUAGGGAAGAACAAAUGUGUAAGUAACGAUGCACGUCUUGACGGUACCUAAUCAGAAAGCCACGGCUAACUACGG